GACGAACGCUGGCGGCGUGCUUAACACAUGCAAGUCGAACGGUAAGGCCCUGCUUUUGUGGGUUGCUCGAGUGGCGAACGGGUGAGUAACACGUGAGUAACCUGCCCUUGACUUUGGGAUAACUUCCUGAAACUGGGGCUUAUUCCGGAUAGGAUCACCUGCUGCCUGGUUGUGGUUGUAAAGUUUGGGCGGUGGGGGAUGGUCUCGCGGUUUCGCAACUGGUUGUUGGUGAAGUGGCUGCCCAAGGCGUCGACGGGGAGUCGGCGUGAGAGGGUGACCGGCAAAAGUGGGAGAGAGCUACGGCCGAGACUAGUACGGGAGGCAGGAGUGGGGAAGAUAGCACGAUGGGGGGAAGCCGGGUGCAGGAAGGCCGCGUGCGGGAUGAAGGGCUUCGGGUUGUAAACCGAAUGGGAGUGUGACGAAGCGUAAGUGACGGUAAUGGGUAAAGAAGCACCGGCUAACUACGUG
rnacentral:rRNA from 1 species